GACUUUCACCCCUCAUUAUUAAGUGGUGGUGUGUUGUCCAUGGUGCUGGAGUAGGGGAUAGAGCGGAUGAGUUGGUAACUAUGGUUCAAGACAGUGGUGGAAAAACUACCCAAUCGUCAUACUUCAGUAGAAGUAGGAUACCUUAAUAGAAAAUGACUCAAGUAAAAGUGAAAGUCACCCAGCAAAAUACUACUUGAGUAAAAGUCUAAAUAUAUUUGGUUUUAAAUAUACUUAAGUAUCAAAAGUUAAUGUAAUUCCUAAAAUAUACUUAAGUUUCAAAAGUAUAAUUAUAAAUAAUUUCAAAUUCCUUAUAAUAAGCAAACCAGAUUGCAAGAUUUUCUUUUUUUAUUUACGGAUAGCCAGGGGAACACUCCAACACUCAGACAUAGUUUACAAACAAAGCAUUUGUGUUUAGUGAGUCCGCCAGAUCAGAGGCAGUAGAGAUGACCAGGGAUGUUCUCUUGAUAAGUGUGUCAAUGGGACAAUUUUCUUGCCCUGCUAUGUAUUCAAAAUGUAACCAUUGCUUCAGUCAUCCUACAACAACUUUGUAAACUAGCUCAUAACUAUAUCCCCAUCUACUGGUCAUAAAGGAAUAUUGCAUACUGUCUGAGGGGCUGAUGGAGAGGGAUGAAGCCACAUUAUGGCUGAAGUUUCUGUAUUGAACUGACAGUGUUUACCAUUGUGUAGAAGCACAUAGCGCUGCCCCACAGACACUACAUAAAGAGCGACUGCACUUCCUGAUUUGGCCUAGUUUUAGAUUUGGUUCAUUAAGAAAUGCUAUGACUGAAUUCAAAUGUGAGUUGGUUUCGGGAUGUGGUUUGAUGUGGGUGUGUUCACAUGUGGGAAGAGUUAGACAAAUUAUUUGUUGAUGGGGAGAACAGAAUUAGAUAGGAGACCUGACACUCAACACAUCCACAAUGUUAUAAACUCUGCCUGUUUCUACAGAAGGACUGGAGAUGCUUUUGUCAGACUGUAUGCCUUUGUCGUUUGAUGGGGAGUCCACAAUUGGGAAGAAACAUGUAUGGAGCCAGGACAUGGAGACUUGCACGAUGAUCUGAUGAAGUCCAGACUGACAGACGGGCUUGAUACUGAUGUCAAAUCUUUUAUUGUAUUUUUUAGUAUUAAAUGUAAUGGUAUCAGUCAAUAUGGGGAGGGGGAAACACUGUGUUCUGCACCAGGACCUGGGACUUCCUGUUGUAUACGGGACACCAGACUUGGUAUGACCACUCUGUCAUGUUUACCAAGGUAGCCCCAUUACCACCUAACAAAAUGCUGAUAGACACAGUAUCUGUAUCAGCUGGGAAUGACAAUAAAAGAUGAAAGGCACACAUUGUUAUAUUAGCAG
rnacentral:lncRNA from 1 species